rnacentral:lncRNA from 1 species
GAAAGAUAAUGGGAUCACUAUGUAUCUGGAAAAUCUUUAAUGUCUCACUAAGUUGAAUUUUGGGUAAUUGGAAGUCACUGAUGGUUUUUAUAAUAAUGAAGUGGAAUGAUGAAAGUCAUGUUUUAGGUGAGUACGGUUGUAAAAUUCAGAAUAGAUUGCAUUGUGGCAGACACCAAAGACAAGGAUUAUUAUAGGAUACCAUGCUUUCCUGAUGUUCCUGUUACCAAAUUUGCUUCUCCUUCUUGGCAGAUAAUGAGGUUAUCUUGUACCAUCAUAUAUUUGGAGAUUGUGUUGUCCUGCAGGUUAUGAGAGUAGUGUUCCCAUGUUACACUGCCUUUUUCCUAAAUCCUGUGUUGGUUCUUCUCUGUAUCUCUUCCUGCCUACCAUCUUCUCCCCAGCUGUAGUCCUGUGGAAAAGGAAUUGUAACACCUCAGCAUACUUCCUUUAGGAAAGUGAGAGAUUGUUGUUUUUUUGUUUAUUUUUGUUUAUAUUUGUUUUUAUAUAUCUCUCCUCUCGGCUUAUCUAUAUUUUUCAGUGGCUAUCUUCCUCUAUAGGGACAGGCUCUUUUCAGUAUGCCAACUCACACAUGCAUAGCUCUCUCUGGUUUAUGAUAAUCUGUCUCUCCCCUGACUUCUUCAGAUUUGGGGGUGUAAAGGCUUCUUGCUCUGACUAUUCCCUAGCUGCUUCCAUAUUUUUAGUUGGUUUUCCUUAACCCAACCCUACCUUUGUAAUGGUCCCUUAGUUGAAUCACUUAGAUAUAUAUACUCCAGAAGUCUGAUGGUUUAAGCAGAAUGUAAGCACUCUUUUUCUUUCUGUGUCUGCUUUUCCACAGAAGUAUAGUAGAGACCAUGUAGCAAUAAAAAUCACUUUCAUAUUAUGUUGCUUGUUUUUUUGGUUUUGAAACUGAUAAAUGGUUAAAUUUGCCAUAUUAGAAAAACAGAAAAAAGGCAAGAGGGCAGAUAAAAGACACCUAGACUUGCCUUCUUUUCUACAAGAUAGAACUAGAGCAACAGGUGUGUGGCUAAAUGUCAAGGUAGAUGGCUGUGGGAGAGCACUGGAAUUCAACAGUGUAAAAAGCAGACAGUAGAACCCAGAGAUUUUGAAUAAUAGAAUCGCAAGUGAAACAGUGCCUAUUGAAUGGCAGCAUGGUCAGAG